rnacentral:rRNA from 1 species
AAGUCGAACGAAGGCCCUAGCUUGCUAGGUGUCCUUAGUGGCGCACGGGUGAGUAACACGUGGGAACAUACCUUAUAGUACGGAAUAACUGCGGGAAACUGUAGCUAAUACCGUAUAUUCCAGUAAUGGGAAAGAUUUAUCGCUAUAAGAUUGGCCCGCGCAAGAUUAGCUUGUUGGUGAGGUAAAAGCUCACCAAGGCUUCGAUCUUUAGCUGGUUUGAGAGGAUGAUCAGCCACACUGGGACUGAGACACGGCCCAGACUCCUACGGGAGGCAGCAGUAGGGAGUAUUGGACAAUGGGGGCAACCCUGAUCCAGCAAUGCAGCGUGAGUGACGAAGGUCUUAGGGUUGUAAAACUCUUUCAUCGGUGAGGAUAAUGACAGUAGCCGAAGAAGAAGGACCGGCUAAUUCCGUGCCAGCAGCCGCGGUAAUACGGAAGGUCCUAGCGUUGUUCGGAAUUACUGGGCGUAAAGCGCAUGUGGGCGGAACAGAAAGUUAGAAGUGAAAUCCCUGGGCUCAACCUAGGAAUUGCUUUUAAAACUUCUGUUCUGGAAUUCAGGAGAGGAAAAUGGAAUUUCCAGUGUAGAGGUGAAAUUCGUAGAUAUUGGAAGGAACACCAGUGGCGAAGGCGAUUUUCUGGACUGAUAUUGACGCUGAGAUGCGAAGGCAUGGGUAGCAAACGGGAUUAGAUACCCCGGUAGUCCAUGCAGUAAACGAUGGGUGCUAGUCGUCGGACUUUUGUUCGGUGUCGUAGCUAACGCGUUAAGCACCCCGCCUGGGGAGUACGGUCGCAAGAUUAAAACUCAAAUAAAUUGACGGGGACCCGCACAAGCAGUGGAGCAUGUGGUUUAAUUCGACGCAACGCGAAGAACCUUACCAGCGUUUGACAUGG